CUUGGUCAUUUAGAGGAAGUAAAAGUCGUAACAAGGUUUCCGUAGGCGAACCUGCGGAAGGAUCAUUAAAGAAUGCCCCGUUUUUUGAAAUGGGUUCUAUUCCCAAACCGUGUAUACAUACCUUUGUUGCUUUGGCAGGCCGCCUUCGGGCGUCGGCUCACGCUGACCGCGCCUGCCAGAGGACCCAAACUCGUUUGUUUAGUAAUGUCAGAGUACUAUAUAAUAGUUAAAACUUUCAACAACGGAUCUCUUGGUUCUGGCAUCGAUGAAGAACGCAGCGAAAUGCGAUAAGUAAUGUGAAUUGCAGAAUUCAGUGAAUCAUCGAAUCUUUGAACGCACAUUGCGCCCCUUGGUAUUCCGAGGGGCAUGCCUGUUCGAGCGUCAUAUUAACCACUCAAGCCUAGCUUGGUCUUGGGGUUCGCGGUUCGCGGCCCUUAAAAUCAGUGGCGGUGCCAUCUGGCUCUAAGCGUAGUAAAUUCCUCGCUAUAGUGUCCGGUGGUUACUUGCCAGAAUCCCCCACUUUCUACGGUUGACCUCGGAUCAGGUAGGGAUACCCGCUGAACUUAAGCAUAUCAAUAAGCGGAGGA
rnacentral:rRNA from 1 species